rnacentral:lncRNA from 1 species
GAAAGACUUAUGGUAUCAUAGUUUAAAAUGCUGAUCAGUUACCUACUUUAUUAUGAUUUUCAGUAUUUAUUACCAAAAUGUUUAAUAAAGAUAUAGUACGUGUAAUUGACUUACAGGGUGUCCACGAUAAAUUGGAACUACUUUAAACUUCAUCCAGAUCCAUAAUAUUCGGGGUUAAAUCAUACUGAUAUAAAAGGUUGCGUGAACAAUACACUAUAACUUCCACCACAAUUGUUUUGACAACAAACAAUAGUCAUCAUAGAACAAGGAAGGAGAGACACCAUCCUAGAAUUGGCUCGUAUGGGACACAAGCCCUUUGCUAUCUAUAAGCUUCUUAACUACCCCAAGACCACGGUGUACCAGGUCUUCAAUGCCUGGGAGGUUGAGGGGAAGAUCUGCCGAAAGGCCCACAACAUGAGAAGUGACCGAAUCCGCACUCCCCGCUUCCUUGAAGGCCUCCGGAAUUCCAUCAAGGCUUCGCCAGGGACUUCCUUGUGCAGGUUGGCCAAGAACCGUGGAGUGAGCAAGCAGCUGGUCUCCAAGGCUGUGAAUGGGGACGUCGGGUACAGGUCAUACCAAAUGGGCAAACAACACAUUUUACGAGGAAAGCAACAUAACAUUGUUUUUGGCUAAAUUAAGUCGGUGUUAGUUUACUAUUAUUUGUAUAAUGCCCUACAAUUUCUAUUAUAUAAAUAUUUUAAUUAACCGUCUGUAGUGUGCGCAAAUUAGGGUUAAUUAUGAUCAAAAUAUCCUGUUAAAAAAAAAUGUAGCUAUAAUAUUAUAAUAGUUGGUACAAAUGAACAUGUGUCUUUAUUAUAAAUGCGAGGAAUAUCAACAAGUCUUGUUAGAUUUGAGCUGAAUUGAAAUGUAAAAAACCUCAGAUUUCACCAAAAAAUUUCAAAUUUGUCAAUUAAAUUUGUGCAGUCAUUUGGUUUUGAAUUUAUAGAAUAUGGAUGUGCCUUGCAUAGAGAGUAUCUGUUAUCUUGUCCAAAAUUUGUUUACAAGUUGAAGUUGUUCAGAGAUAUUUCUAGGCCUAACUUAAUCUCUUGACUCAAAGUGGUUUAAUCCCUUGUUUGAAUAAAAAAUAGUGAUUUCCCUACUACGCAUACAAUUCAUAAGUUAGGAAGAUGAAAGGCAUAAGGAAAUUGAUGAUGAGGAUUACAACAAUAUCUUUUAAAUAUUUGAUAAGAAAUCUAUAAGAUCAUUAUCGUGUUUGGAUAUUUCGAUACUGUGAUAACUCUUCUUCAAUUGUGUGCUACGAGAACUUAUAUUUGACCUAGUACCGUGAGGAUUCCACUCGGACUUGAGGUUAAAACUUAUCCUGGGUUAAUUCUACCUAUAUUAUGUGCUACGAGAACUUAUCUUUGGCCUAGUAGCAUGAGGACUCCACUCGGACUUGAUUUUAUUAUUACUCAUCCUGUCCUCAUUGCCUACCCUUGCUGUAGAUAAUAUUUACUAACUCAAAUAACUAAAUAAAUACACUUUUUGCUUCA